rnacentral:lncRNA from 1 species
CUCCUUUCCCCUCUCUCUCUCUCUUUCUUUCACUUCAAUGUCUUUGCAAAAACUCACAUCGCCUUAUUGAGCGAAUCAAAGUUCCGAGUUAUCAUCGUCGGCGCUUUUGAUUAAGACUCCUCCUCUACUGAUUUAAUUUCUUUUUUAUUAUUAUUAUUAGUUCUUCCUCUUUCUUCGGGGUUCUGCAAAUCAUGAUGAAGAAACGGCAAGUGGUGAUAAAGAGAUCGGAGGC